GGGAACGUAUUCACCGCGGCAUGCUGAUCCGCGAUUACUAGCAACUCCGACUUCAUGUGGGCGGGUUGCAGCCCACAAUCCGAACUGGGACCACUUUUAUGAGAUUAGCUCCACCUUACGAUCUCGCUGCUCUCUGUAGUGGCCAUUGUAGCACGUGUGUAGCCCAGGUCAUAAGGGGCAUGAUGAUUUGACGUCGUCCCCACCUUCCUCCGGUUUGUCACCGGCAGUCUCAUUAGAGUGCCCAACUGAAUGUAGCAACUAAUGACAAGGGUUGCGCUCGUUGCGGGACUUAACCCAACAUCUCACGACACGAGCUGACGACAGCCAUGCAGCACCUGUGUUACGGCUCUCUUUCGAGCACUAAGCCAUCUCUGGCAAAUUCCGUACAUGUCAAAGGUGG
rnacentral:rRNA from 1 species